GACGAACCGGACAAACGUUAUUCGGAAUUACUGGGCUUAAAGAGUGCGUAGGCGGCCAGGAAGGUGAGGUGUGAAAUCCCACGGCUCAACCGUGGAAUUGCGCUUCAAACCACUUGGCUCGAGGAAGGUAGGGGUGAGCGGAACUGAUGGUGGAGCGGUGAAAUGUGUUGAUAUCAUCAGGAACACCGGUGGCGAAGGCGGCUCACUGGACCUUAUCUGACGCUGAGGCACGAAAGCCAGGGUAGCGAACGGG
rnacentral:rRNA from 1 species